rnacentral:lncRNA from 1 species
GCCCUGUACAAAGCCUGGCCAGAGCCCCAUGCGACCUCUAGAAUGCAGACACUGUCAUCUGAACAUUUACACCUACCCGAAACUGGAAGACCACUCUAUACAAUCCCUUGGAUAAGAUAUAUGUGCAUCAAUCGCAUUCACCUUCUCCGCCUUUUGGAUUCGAGCCUUUUGGAUUCAACCUGCAAAUGAUAACAGGUUCACUUUUCUCAGCCUGAAUAAGAAACAGUAAUUGAUCAGGGAAAUAACAACUGAUUAUACAUAAAAAUACAAGUGAAGAAAUCUCCUCGCUGCAGUAAAUCUACAAAACAUGAAGACGCACAGUGCUUGCCAGCUAGUAGUAGUAUCAUUAACAAAGCUAUGCAAUCAACCAAUGCUGCCAGCUCACUAUAGAACCUUUUUUUUUACUUUUGAAAGUGUCAGUAUUUUGUUUUUUGAUUUUGUUGGCCGCAUUCACACUCGUCGAGUGUAAGCCGCCGUUGUCCCCAAAAAAAAAAGUGUCAAAAUAACAUGCUGCCUCAAAAAUUUCCAUAUAAUAUUGCAUGGAGCCUUCUGGAACUUCCUAAAUUAUUCAAGCAACUUGAGUGAUACAGCACCCACGAAAAAAGGGAGAGAGACAGCAUUGCUUAAAGUGAGAAAAUCAGAUUAGUUGACAAGAGUGAAAAAAAUGACAUAAUGAAUUUCAUGAUUCUUGAGUAAUCAACAAAGGCAAAGCAAAGCUGCUCUUGCUCUAAGAGGGGGCAAAAAAUGAACAAUGAGAAUUUCCUCCAUGAAAGGUGUAC